AACGAACGCUGGCGGCAGGCCUAACACAUGCAAGUCGAGCGAGGACUUCGGUUCUAGCGGCGGACGGGUGAGUAACGCGUGGGAAUGUGCCCUUCUCUACGGAAUAGCCCUGGGAAACUGGGAGUAAUACCGUAUACGCCCUUUUGGGGAAAGAUUUAUCGGAGAAGGAUCAGCCCGCGUUGGAUUAGGUAGUUGGUGGGGUAAUGGCCUACCAAGCCGACGAUCCAUAGCUGGUUUGAGAGGAUGAUCAGCCACACUGGGACUGAGACACGGCCCAGACUCCUACGGGAGGCAGCAGUGGGGAAUCUUAGACAAUGGGGGCAACCCUGAUCUAGCCAUGCCGCGUGAGUGAUGAAGGCCUUAGGGCUGUAAAGCUCUUUCAGCUGGGAAGAUAAUGACGGUACCAGCAGAAGAAGCCCCGGCUAACUCCGUG
rnacentral:rRNA from 1 species